GACGAUGCCACCAGGGCAGCAGGCUUAACAACCUCUGGGGAAGUAAGCCAAGAUGCGGUGGGUCUCCCUCUGAUGGCUUCUGGGAUAAACAGGAGGAAUCCAGGGCGGAAGCACGCCGGAGCGGGAAAAGCCGCCCAGGGGUGCCUUUUAACGGAGCAAAGCUGGCUCCAGGUGUUGGCUCCUGCGGCGUCACAAGCGACUUGCGUGUGGGUGCUGCUUCAAGCUGAAGUAAAUAAAUAUCACCUCCAGGACCACCAGAGUCCUGGCUGAAGUUUUAAUGAGGCAGAAGUUGGCGGUGAUUGAUUGGCUUUUCUAUCCACAUGUUCUCUGGUGAGUGUCGGCCACUGGCCCCUGCUGACCAUCCACACAUUUGCCCUGCCAUAUGCCCACACACAGAAUGCGUAAGUGGACUGUGGAGGUGCGGGCCGGAGGCAGAACUGAGGCAGAUUCCUGUAUGGAAAAGAGCUUCCAUUCCAGGUGAUGCUAAGGCGCUCUCCCCCCAUUCUCUAUGCCUCUACGCGCUCAGCACCGAGGAGCCGUGCUGGAGCUCAGGCCCCCUGAAUACCCAAGGAUGUGUUCAGUCCACCUAGGGCCCUGGGUUACUUGAGAAUAAAGAGAAAC